rnacentral:rRNA from 1 species
UAGCUAGUUGGUAGGGUAAGGGCCUACCAAGGCGACGAUCGGUAGCUGGUCUGAGAGGAUGGCCAGCCACACUGGAACUGAGACACGGUCCAGACUCCUACGGGAGGCAGCAGUGGGGAAUAUUGGACAAUGGGGGCAACCCUGAUCCAGCAAUGCCGCGUGUGUGAAGAAGGCCUGAGGGUUGUAAAGCACUUUCAGUGGGGAGGAGGGUACUUAGGUUAAGAGCUAGAGUAUUGGACGUUACCCACAGAAGAAGCACCGGCUAACUCCGUGCCAGCAGCCGCGGUAAUACGGAGGGUGCGAGCGUUAAUCGGAAUAACCGGGCGUAAAGGGUGCGUAGGUGGUUGAUUAAGUUAUCUGUGAAGUCCCUGGGCUUAACCUGGGCAGGUCAGAUAAGACUGGACAACUCGAGUAUGGGAGAGGGUAGUGGAAUUUCCGGUGUAGCGGUGAAAUGCGUAGAGAUCGGAAGGAACACCAGUGGCGAAGGCGGCUACCUGGCCUAAUACUGACACUGAGGCACGAAAGCGUGGGGAGCAAACAGGAUUAGAUACCCUGGUAGUCCACGCCGUAAACGAUGUCAACUAGCUGUUGGUUAUAUGAAUAUAAUUAGUGGCGC